rnacentral:rRNA from 1 species
AGUUGAUCAUGGCUCAGAACGAACGCUGGCGGCGCGUCUUAAGCAUGCAAGUCGAACGGCAAGAGGUAGCAAUACCUCCUAGAGUGGCGGACUGGUGAGUAACACGUGGGUGACAUACCCUUCAGAUGGGGAUAGCUAUUAGAAAUAGUAGAUAAUACCGAAUACGAGCACAGGGGUUAGAGAUCUGUGAGGAAAGGAGCUAAGGCUCCGCUGAAGGAAUGGCCUGCGGCCCAUUAGCUAGUUGGUGAGGUAAGAGCCCACCAAGGCGAUGAUGGGUAUCCGGCCUUAGAGGGUGAACGGACACAUUGGGACUGAGAUACGGCCCAGACUCCUACGGGAGGCAGCAGCUAAGAAUAUUCCGCAAUGGACGAAAGUCUGACGGAGCGACGCCGCGUGGAUGAAGAAGGCCGGAAGGUUGUAAAAAUCCUUUUGAAACUGAAGAAUAAGCGUUGUAGGGAAUGACAGCGUGGUGACAGUAGGUUUUGAAUAAGCAACGGCUAAUUACGUGCCAGCAGCCGC